rnacentral:rRNA from 1 species
CGUACCCGUUAAGGAAACGUAGGGGGGUGCCCUCCCAUCUGGAAGAAUCUGGAGACAGGUGCUGCAUGGCUGUCGUCAGCUCGUGUCGUGAGAUGUUGGGUUAAGUCCCGCAACGAGCGCAACCCUUGCCUUUAGUUGCCAGCAGUUCGGCUGGGCACUCUAAAGGGACUGCCGGUGUUAAACCGGAGGAAGGUGGGGAUGACGUCAAGUCCUCAUGGCCUUUAUGACCAGGGCUACACACGUACUACAAUGGCCGAUACAAAGGGCAGCGACACUGCGAGGUGAAGCCAAUCCCGUAAAAUCGGUCUCAGUCCGGAUUGGAGUCUGCAACUCGACUCCAUGAAGUUGGAAUCGCUAGUAAUCGUGGAUCAGCAUGCCACGGUGAAUACGUUCCCGGGCCUU